rnacentral:rRNA from 1 species
UACGGGGGGAGCAAGCGUUGUUCGGAUUUACUGGGCGUAAAGGGCGCGUAGGCGGCCACCGCAAGUCGACUGUGAAAUCUCCGGGCUUAACCCGGAAAGGUCAGCCGAUACUGCGGGGCUAGAGUGCAGAAGGGGCAACUGGGAAUUCUCGGUGUAGCGGUGAAAUGCGUAGAUAUCGAGAGGAACGCUGCGGCGAAGGCGGGUUGCUGGGCUGACACUGACGCUGAGGCGCGAAAGCUAGGGGGAGCGAACGGGG